UAGGGAAUCUUCCGCAAUGGACGCAAGUCUGACGGAGCAACGCCGCGUGAGUGAAGAAGGAUUUCGGUUCGUAAAACUCUGUUGUUAGAGAAGAACAGCGCAUAGAGUAACUGUUAUGCGUGUGACGGUAUCUAACCAGAAAGCCACGGCUAACUACGUGCCAGCAGCCGCGGUAAUACGUAGGUGGCAAGCGUUGUCCGGAUUUAUUGGGCGUAAAGCGAGCGCAGGCGGUCAAUUAAGUCUGAUGUGAAAGCCCCCGGCUCAACCGGGGAGGGUCAUUGGAAACUGGUUGACUUGAGUGCAGAAGAGGAGAGUGGAAUUCCAUGUGUAGCGGUGAAAUGCGUAGAUAUAUGGAGGAACACCAGUGGCGAAGGCGACUCUCUGGUCUGUAACUGACACUGAGGAGCGAAAGCAUGGGGAGCGAACAGG
rnacentral:rRNA from 1 species